rnacentral:rRNA from 1 species
GGUGAACGCUGGCGGCGUGCUUAAGACAUGCAAGUCGAACGGCAGUCUUCGGACUGUAGUGGCGCACGGGUGAGUAACGCGUAACUGACCUACCCCAAAGUCGCGGAUAACGAUUCGAAAGAAUCGCUAAUACGUGAUGUGCUGUCAGAUCCUGUUCUGCCAGUAAAGAUUGAUUGCUUUGGGAUGGGGUUGCGUUCCAUCAGCUAGUUGGUGGGGUAAAGGCCCACCAAGGCGACGACGGAUAGCCGGCCUGAGAGGGUGGCCGGCCACAGGGGCACUGAGACACGGGUCCCACUCCUACGGGAGGCAGCAGUUAGGAAUCUUCCACAAUGGGCGAAAGCCUGAUGGGGCGACGCCGCGUGAGGGAUGAAGGUCUUCGGAUCGUAAACCUCUGAAUCAGGGACGAAAGACACUUCGGUGGGAUGACGGUACCUGAGUAAUAGCACCGGCUAACUCCGUGCCAGCCGCCGCAGUAACAC